UUGGAGGGCAAGUCUGGUGCCAGCAGCCGCGGUAAUUCCAGCUCCAAUAGCGUAUAUUAAAGUUGUUGCAGUUAAAAAGCUCGUAGUUGAAUUUCGGGAUCAAUUUGCCGGUCGAGACCUCUGGUACGUACUUGUAUUAUUGAUUUCUUUCAUUCUGAUAAAUCAUUGAUGUCAUUAAUUUGAUGACUUUGAGGAAUCGGAACUUUUACUUUGAAAAAAUUAGAGUGUUUAAAGCAGGCUUAUUAGGCUUGAAUACAUUAGCAUGGAAUAAUGAAAUAGGACGAUUGAUCCUAUUUUUGUUGGUUUCUAGGAUUGACGUAAUGAUUAAUAGGGAUAGUUGGGGGCAUUAGUAUUCAAUUGUCAGAGGUGAAAUUCUUGGAUUUAUUGAAGACUAACUACUGCGAAAGCAUUUGCCAAGGAUGUUUUCAUUAAUCAAGAACGAAAGUUAGGGGAUCGAAGACGAUCAGAUACCGUCGUAGUCUUAACCAUAAACUAUGCCGACUAGGGAUCGGAUGAUGUUAAUUUUUUUUAAUGACUCAUUCGGCGCCUUACGGGAAAC
rnacentral:rRNA from 2 species